rnacentral:tRNA from 1 species
GGGGUUGUAGCUCGAAGUUAGAGCACUUGCCUCAAAUGCAUGAGGCCCUGGGUUCUAUCCUCAGUACCA